ensembl:miRNA mdo-mir-12333 mdo-mir-12333
UUUGGAGUGAGAGGAUCUGGUAAGUGGCGAAACUGAAAUUCGAACCCAGGCCCUCUAACUGCAAAUUCAGC